rnacentral:rRNA from 1 species
AUUGAACGCUGGCGGCAUGCCUUACACAUGCAAGUCGAACGGGGGUAGCAAUACCCUAGUGGCGAACGGGUGAGUAAAGCAUCGGAACGUACCCAGUUGUGGGGGAUAACGUAGCGAAAGUUACGCUAAUACCGCAUACGCACUGAGGUGGAAAGCGGGGGACCUUUGGGCCUCGCGCAAUUGGAGCGGCCGAUGUCGGAUUAGCUAGUUGGUGAGGUAAAAGCUCACCAAGGCGACGAUCCGUAGCUGGUCUGAGAGGAUGAUCAGCCACACUGGGACUGAGACACGGCCCAGACUCCUACGGGAGGCAGCAGUGGGGAAUUUUGGACAAUGGGCGAAAGCCUGAUCCAGCCAUGCCGCGUGAGUGAAGAAGGCC